CCAACAAUCAAGGUUUGAAGUGAAGAGGAAGCUUUGUUGGAAAGCUUGUGGUGUUAACCCAGGCCCUGGCUUACUUCUUGCAACCAGAAUUUAAGGAUGGCAGUGGAAGACUUCAAGCUGCAAGUAAAAACAGAAAGAAACAUGGGUAAAACUUCUCAUGAAGCUCUGAAGGCCAAGCUGUAGCCUGCAUCGCUGUAUCUUGCUCAUUGCUGUGCAAUAUUCCCCUGGAGAGGGUCCAAACAGAAGCAGCAGGGGAGCUGUGAUGUGGCCUGGUGGAACAGCAUCCCGCCCACCGCUUCACGCCUGGAGGCACAGAGGAGGUAGGACAGGGGGAGAUCUUCUGCUGAGAUGGGCCCAUGCACUGCAAUGCUGAUGGGCAUGAAGGCAGACUCAUAGAGUCUGGGUGAGUAUUUAAGGGCAAUUUUUUUGAUUAAGUUCGUCACAUGGUCUUUGAUUAAGCUAGAAGUAGGAGGACUAAAGUGAAUAUUUGAAGGCUGGAAAAAAAUCACCUGCAAGAAAAGUUUCUGGGUGUGAUGUGACUUAUCUUUUCCUGUUUCUCACUGUUAUUCAGUGAGAAGAUGGUUUUGUAAUUGCAGUUAUUAUCUUUAGGUGAUAAACUUAGUUCUGGUGACAAGAUAAAUAAUGUUGUAAGCAAGACCUCAUUUUCCUGUUACUAGUUUCUUUGGUUAAGUAACUUAUGCUAGUUAUCGAGGAAAGCAAGACCUCAUUUUCCUGUUACUAGUUUCUUUGGUUAAAUAACUUACGUUAGUUAUGGAGGAAAGCAAGGUACAAUGGAAAUAUACCUUGUCCUCUUAUUCAGCCUUUCAGUAAUAUUGUAAGGUAAGUAAGUCCACGUAAGGACUUAAGGUUUUGACAUUAUGUACAAUGAUACUGCAAAAAACUUACGCUGUUUUGACAGAGAUAACUUUACAAUGCUAGCUGCAGUCUUAAAAAAGCCCAAAACAACAAAACAACAAAACUGUAUGCUUUCUCUUUCUUCAUCCUGAACAGAUUUUUUCAGGAAAAAUUACUUCUGCAAAAUGUUGCCUCUUAAAUUUGUAAUUAUAGUUCCCUUGAAAUUUCAAAGCCUGGAAUUAUUUAGGGCACAGAUACCCUGGUUCAUUCGCUGUGAGCAAGGCUAAGAACAGCUCUGCGCAUUGGUCUGCUCCAAGUGACAGUUGCAGUGUAAAUGUGUCCAUCCACACUCAUGCCUCCAGAUCUCUAGAGAAUCUUUCUGAAAAGAGAUGAAUGGAUGAACCAGAAUUUAAUGGCAAAAAAGGUUGUAUCCUUGUGGGUGACUGGGGUGAUGUCAGUGGUUAGAAACUCAGAUCUAGCUCACGCUUCACUGCACAUUUUGGAUUGGGGUGAAUGGCUGAACACUGCUGAGGUGUUCCUUCCUCCCAUUCUGGAAACACACUUGUUUGGGGGAUUUCUGAGACCUAUGCUUUCAAAAUUCACAGAAAAUAUGACAAAACCUGAAAAAAAACCCCAGCAGAUUCAGCCAAGACUGUGUUUAUAGAAGCAGCAGACAAAGAGAUUUCAAGAGGUUUUGCCAUAUACCCUAAAGACUCUGGGCUGCAUUUUGUGUGGUAUGGAGGGAUCUGAUGGAGGCUGCGUUGAGCUUGGGGUGAAAAUAGGAUUCAAUGAGCUGACUUUCCUAGUUUUCCAUACUGCUCUGAGCCCAAGGGGAGUGCACUGGCUCUUGCACUCAGGGAUUACCCAGGAUAUUGCUGGACAAGGAUGGAUGCCCUGACCUGCCUGAGAACCCUGCCAGGAAAUGCCUCAGCUUACAAACAUGGGGACUUCAGGGUAAAGUGUCAGUGCUGGUGUUUGCUGGCAUACAAAAUGCAUGGAAAUGAGGAAAGAAAUGGAAAUCCUGCCGAAGGUGAGAUGGCCAGGUGCCAGCUGCACAGAGGUGUGCUGCGCUGUCUCAGCACCACCACACUGCCCAAGCACCUGGACACUGGUGUGAACCCCUGGCUGGUUCACCCAGAUUCUGCCCAGCAGUCUGCCCUGAGAGUCAGCAGGUGCUGUUCUUCUUGGUAACUAACUCUUUUUAUGCAGGCAGUAUGGUAAUCUCCUGUGGUCACAAGUGGGAAACCCCCUCUUUGCACACCACCUUGUAAAAGCACCACUCAGACUCUCCCCAGACAGAGCCUUCAAAGGGAAAAAUUCCUCUUCAGACCUGUCAGGCAUGUAUCUGCUGAAGAAAAAUGUUCCUGACGUGUCCUCAGUCCUUCAAGCUGCAACCUAAAGUCCUUGGAGCUGAGAAUGACAGGGAAAUCCAAAAGGAUGUUUCUCCUGAGUUAAAGUCUUAACAGACUUCCCUUGGAUUAUGUCCAAAGCCAGCUCCAGCACCAGCCCACCAAUGAGGGGGCCAGGGUGUGUUUCUUUCCCAGAGAAAGAAAUAACCCCUGUAGAAGAAGGAUUUUUCAUUUCUCCUCUGGGGACGGGCUAUGCUAUGCUCUGUCUAGGGGAGCUGCCAGAGAUCUCACCUGCUCUGUGGCAGCACCACGCCUGGGAUCCCACCAGGAAGGACUGCUGAUGGAACUAAUGACAUUUGAACACAGCCCAAAUCUGGGCAGAGCUGGCUUGCAAGAGGCUUGGUGGUGGACAAGGGGAACCUAGCAACCUGCCUCAGGGUUCAGCAAGCGUAGACAAGUGUCAGUGUGGUCAUGCUGACUUCUAGUCACCAUGGAGCACCCGACAGCAUAGAAGCUAAUGUUAGUUGGUCUACUGUAAAUUUGUCAUUUUUCAUUUCUUUUAGUUAGAAAAAUAAAAAUACCUCAUUUCUUCAUGAGCUUUUUUUCCUCCUGCAUAUAAGCUAAUCCAAGAGCUAUUUAAUUCUCACUUACAUGGCAGUUUUUCUUCUGAUAGCAAAUAUACUUUAAGUUCUUUUACUUGUGUUCCUAUUAAAUAUUAGUACAAAUAUAUUAAUUACUUUUUCUUUUCUAAAUUAAUGCUGUCUUUUUGAAAAUUAUCAGUGACCUGGUGGAGGAAUCAAACAUCACACCAUUUUCUCAUAUUUACUGUGUUUGCAGUUUGUUUAGCCCUUGUACAACACAGCAACUGUAUAGAAUUAAAAAUAAAGAGCAUCACAUUUUCCAGACUGAGGGACCAAAAGGUCCUUCUGUCAGCUGUGCUGGAGCAGCUCAUUAGCCAGAGCACAGCAGUGGAGUUGCGUGGAAGGUGCAGACAUGUAGGAGUAGGGAACUUUUUGCAUUGCCACAUAAUGCCAAAACUUGGUGGUUGAACCCUAACCCAGCACCCUGUGUGUCAUCCACUUGUUCUUUUGACAUCUGACUUGUUUACAGCAUGAACACGUCUCUCCCACAUACAGGGAUUGAAACUCCCUGAAGUCUAACUUCAGAUGCCAGGAGAUAGGGUAGUUUACACCUUUUCCACAGAGGUAGGUAAAAAAUUUUACCUAGUAUAAAAGUUCUUCAAGGGUUUGACUUUGCUUAUUUUUCUUGUGGAUUAGAUAGGUACACUAGGGGCUACUAAAGGUUAAUGACACUGGAGAGCCUUUAUACUGUAGGACAUCUCCCUAGGUCAAUUUUUGUCUGAAGUCAAAAUUUCUUGCAGCUUGGAACUGAAGGUCAAUGGACUGAGUAAAAUGAUUAGAUUUUCUUAGGAAUUCUGCUUUAUCAGAACAUGAACAUUAGUACAAGGAUGACUUUAGGAACAUUUUGUGUAUCUUCCCAAGUCUGAAUUGCACCCACAUUGAAGAAAAUCUAAAACCAAUAAGGGAUUUUUUAGAAUCCAAUUAAUCUCAGUCAUUAUCCUUUGGAGAUAAUAAAAUUCUAAGCAUAGAGGGAGAAAAUAGUCAGCAAACAUCUUGGUUCUGUAUCUAACAUUUACCUUAAAUAAUAAUGUAAUGGAAAUUAUUGUUAAUAUGUGGUACAAGUAAAUAGGAUCACUUCUUCUUGAAUGCAGCUUACAUCCACGAGUCCUACAAGAGUUGCUUAAGAAGAAGGAAAACAGCCACUGUCAUUCUAUGUUAAUUAUUAGAAAAAUAAAUCUUCUUUAAUAAAUCUGAUCCAGUGCUUUGCUGAUGUCAAUUUCUAGCCUGGUUGAUGAAAGCAAAUACAUAGAAUUUUGUGAGGUAUUUGUUUUGGUAUUGUAGAAUAUUUGGACAGGAAAAUCUAGCAACUCUUGCGGGCAAAAAACCCCAUGCCCAUUAAACUGAUAACUGAUGCCCUGGUGUAAUUACUAAUAUGUUGGCAAUAAGAAAUCUUUACCACAUGACUUCUCUAGUUAUUUUCUGCAGAGAUCAGUGCCAGAUUUGAUCUCAUUCUACUUUUUUGUCUCUGUCCAGGAAGAAAAUACUAAGUCAUAACUUAAUAUUUUUUUGUACAAACCAAAGAUGCCAAGAAAAUGGGAAAACUAAAUAUGGAGGAGGAAGAGGAGUCAGACAGCGUAAAAUAGAUAAUUAGCAACUAGUCAGCUGAAACAAAUGCACUUUGAUACAGGAAACUACAAAGUGGGGUAUUACAUCCUGAGAGCAACAAAGAGAAUAGGGGGCACAGUGAGCAAAUAGCACAAUAUGAGCUCACAGUUUUACAGGGGUAAAACUGUUUACGGAUGUCUUGGCAAGCUAACAGAAAAGGUUUCUCUUGCCCUUGUAUUUCUCAUUGCUGAGGUUUUGUUUCUUUCCAUGCUUAGAAUUUAGUAAUUCUAAAACUUUUCAUUUGUUCUUCUCAGAUCUCACUGAAAUCACAAUUUUAUCUUUAUUAUGAAUAUUUUUCCACUACGAAGAGGGUGUUUAUCCCUUGAUUAUGUCAGUAAGUCAAUACAGAAAUAGAUAAAAGCUAGCUAGAUGAACUUCUCACUUCACUUCCUUGUUCAUGCCACAGUGGUUUGUUCUCAUCUCCCUUGAUAACCUCAGAGUAAACAAGUGGGUCAUCUAUUUGCCCCAGUUUGUAACAUUAAUCACUGUGCAAGCCUUGGUACACAAAUUCCCUGGUACAUCUCAACUGCAUUAUGAUUCAAAGAAGCUAAACACUUAUCUGCAACCAGCUGCAAGUGGUGUACAGAAAACUGAAACUCAGUACUUUUCCUUGUUGUUUGAAAAAAUUUCAGAUUUUUGUUUUGUCAGAAAAGAAACUGAUAAUGGAGCCAGGUAGACCUUCGAUGCAAUUUCAUUGGCUACAAAGGAAACCCUAUUUUCUUGAAUGCAUUAUUAAUGCCUGUAAAGGAUAUAUUGGUUUUGGCAAUUGCCUUGCCAUUAACGCUUGUUCCAAACAGCCCUGUCCUGAUACAUCCAUCUCCUUUUGGUCUGAUUUGCUACACUGAGAACAUGUUGGCCCUGAACCUGGAAUUUUUUUAAGAAUUCAAAUACAUUUCUAGAACACUGUUAAAAUAACCAAGGAAAUGGUAAGGAAGCAACGGUAAUGAAUGGUAAUUCAUUAGUAUUUAGAUGUUGUUCAAUGCAGAGACUUGCAUGUGGUUUCACAUGCUCCCUUUGGGCAAGUUUAAUUUUGAUUCCUCUAUAUCCCAUGGAGUACCUGAAAGAAAACAUGACAAAGUGACUUCAGAAAAAUGGAAAUGUCUCCAAAAGUGAGACUCAGUUGAUCCCAAAACUAUGGGAUUGUUAGUGUGCAGUGAGUACGUUCUCAACACACAUAGAAAUAAUUAUUGUUAUUUACAUAUCAGAUCUUUCACCUCAGAAUGUCAAUGCAUGUUGUAAUCAUCAAUUAAUUUAAUCUCAGAACUACUGAGGAGAGCUAAGUGAGUGCUACAUCCCCAAUUUUAUUCAGAACAAAUAAAUAAAUGGAAGAAGUGAGAGGUUCAUUUCCCAGAAAUGCAAGGCAUUUAAAUGCCUAACACCCAUUGAUUUCAGGAAGCACUCGUUGCCAUAAAUUUUGAGUGACUCUGUCGUUUGCCCAGCAUCAAACUGAUUAGUCAGGAAGCUAUGCAGAAACAGGCAACCUGUGUAUUGCCCUGAUUUCCUAACUUUCUCCAAGAGGAAACAUCUCCUUAGAAAUGGGUUGUGAGAUUCAGCUCAUCAAAUGUGUCCCCUUUAGAGUGUAAACAUCUGCAUCUGGACUAAUCAUCUGGACAUUCCUUGUAGUCAAGGAAGGCUAAGACAACAGAGAUGAAUCCCACCCCGUGUGUCUGCACCGCAAAAGCGGAAUACCAAAACACAGCCUACACCAGCUGUGGUCAUCCACUUACCCUUGAUAUCCAGAGAUUCACUGGAAAAAGUUACAAAACAAAUCCAGGGGAUUUCCACACAGUCCUUGAUGUUAUCUUUAAUGUUCUAAUUCAGUUUCAGAAUAAAGCACUCAUUUAUACUUUUUCUUGUGUCUACUUGCCUCUGCUUCAACCAACUCAAAACAAAGAGAUUUUAAACAUUUACUGGCUCCACAUGCCUAUAAACUUAGCAUUUUCUCAUUUUUAUGAUAUCUCUGAUGUCUUGUGA